rnacentral:rRNA from 1 species
AUUGAACGCAGGCGGCAUGCUUUACACAUGCAAGUCGAACGGUAACAGGCCGCAAGGUGCUGACGAGUGGCGAACGGGUGAGUAAUGCAUCGGAACGUGCCCAGUCGUGGGGGAUAACGCAGCGAAAGCUGCGCUAAUACCGCAUACGAUCUAUGGAUGAAGGCGGGGGACCGUAAGGCCUCGCGCGAUUGGAGCGGCCGAUGUCAGAUUAGGUAGUUGGUGGGGUAAAGGCUCACCAAGCCAACGAUCUGUAGCUGGUCUGAGAGGACGACCAGCCACACUGGGGCUGAGACACGGCCCAGACUCCUACGGGAGGCAGCAGUGGGGAAGUUUGGACAAUGGGCGCAAGCCUGAUUCAGCAAUGCCGCGUGCAGGAAGAAGGCCUUCGGGUUGUAAACUGCUUUUGUACGGAACGAAAAGGCUCUGGAUAAUACCUGGGGCUCAUGACGGUACCGUAAGAAUAAGCACCGGCUAACUACGUGCCAGCCGCCGCGGUAACAC